CAUUGGACACGGGCCGCCCGUC
rnacentral:siRNA from 1 species